GUGCCAGCAGCCGCGGUAAUACGGAGGGUGCAAGCGUUGUCCGGAUUUAUUGGGUUUAAAGGGUGCGUAGGCGGUUCUUUAAGUCAGCGGUGAAAGUCCAGAGCUUAACUCUGGGAUUGCCAUUGAUACUGAAGAACUUGAGUAUAGUUGAGGUAGGCGGAAUUGACAGUGUAGCGGUGAAAUGCAUAGAUAUUGUCAAGAACACCGAUUGCGUAGGCAGCUUACUAAGCUAUAACUGACGCUGAGGCACGAAAGUGUGGGGAUCAAACAGGAUUAGAUACCCCUGUAGUCC
rnacentral:rRNA from 1 species